rnacentral:rRNA from 1 species
AACGAACGCUGGCGGCAUGCCUAAUACAUGCAAGUCGAACGAGAUCUUCGGAUCUAGUGGCGCACGGGUGCGUAACGCGUGGGAAUCUGCCCUUGGGUUCGGAAUAACAGCGGGAAACUGCUGCUAAUACCGGAUGAUGACGUAAGUCCAAAGAUUUAUCGCCCAGGGAUGAGCCCGCGUAGGAUUAGGUAGUUGGGGGGGUAAAGGCCUACCAAGCCUACGAUCCUUAGCUGGUCUGAGAGGAUGAUCAGCCACACUGGGACUGGGACACGGCGCAGACUCAUACGGGAGGCAGCAGUAGGGAAUAUUGAACAAUGGGGGCAACCCUGAUCCAGCAAUGCCGCGUGAGUGAUGAAGGCCUUAGGGUUGUAAAGCUCUUUUACCCGGGAUGAUAAUGACAGUACCGGGAGAAUAAGCCCCGGCUAACUCCGUGCCAGCAGCCGCCGUAA